AUAAGAGACGCGGGUUCGAUCUUCUUGGGAAGAUCUCGUGAAAGAGGGCAUGGCCACCCACUCCAGUAUUCUUGCCUGGAGAAUCCCAUGGACAGAGGAGCUUGGCGGACUACGGUCCAUGGGGUCACACAGAGUCAGACACGAUGGAAGCAACGCAGCACACAUGCCCGCAAGAUGACAAUAAAUAAGGCAGUUCUGUUUCCAGGACACCCAAUUUUUUAGCAUCUCAGGAAGUGUCAGAAGAUUUUCAAAAAGGGUUGUUGAAAGGCGGUGCAGGACCCAGAGGGAGAACAGACGAAAGCUGAAUUUCGCUGACGUGGAGAUGACCUGGGAGCCGAAGAUCUGACUUCGGUUCCUGGUUUUUGCCCCUUCCCACCUCUUGGGCUUGACUCUUUUCUUUCUCUUGUCCUCUGAGGCCUCAGUUUCCCCGCCUGAGAUGUGCAGCCAGAACAAUUUGCUAAUCCACCGCCCAUGGAUGCGCGGAAAAAAUAUUUUGAAUUCCCACCAUCUUUUUUUCCUUUGAAUGAACUUGUUUAUCCGCUGGUCAGGGUCAGAGAGAGUCGAGGAGGAGGAGCAGCGAGGGAGUGCCAUCCAGCUAAGCUGACAUGACGCUUUGGAAGGUCAGAGCCCACGGACCCCUGGACAGAGGGCCGUGUUGUCGGGCUUCGGCGCGCCCUUCUGGAAGCCAGUGGCCGGGUCUGACGCAAGCGUGCCAGGAACUCCUGGGCCUGAAGGUCUGCAAACUGAACGCCUAUUUCUGUGACCCUUCGCGGGACUCACGGCCCUGGCUCCGCUGCCCAGCCCUCAGUGAACCGAGCAGAUGGUCACAAAAACCAGCGGUAGCCCAGUCAUCCUGACAGCGUCUGGGGUCCCUCCCGACACCAACCCUCAGCUCUCCUGCCUCCCAGACCUUGGAGCAUCUCACUCUGCUCCGGGUGGUCUUGGAAUCAGUUGCUGAGGGGUGAACGCUCAUGAGCCCAUUUCAGAGUUGGUGAAACUGAGGUCCAAGCAGGACAGACAGUGUGACGCCUUCCUUAAGCCCAGUUCCCAGCACUAGAGAACACAUUCAUUCAUUUUGCAAAUAUUUGUGAGUUCUUGCCAGGCACAGGGCUGGAUGAUGCAGAUGUCAUGAGAUGGGGUGCGGGGAGGAUGUCUGGGGAGGUUGUCAUUCCUUUGUCUGGCUCGCGGUCCAGGGGUGGAGACACAUGUGCGGCAAAAUCUCCAGAGUAAAAUUAAACUGGAAACUGGGAUAAGGACUGCAACGGGGGGCGAAAGAGAGCUUGGAACAGCCCGUGUGGUCUGGGGAGGUCCUGUGGGCUUCCCUGAGCUUCCUCAGAUUAGUGCUUCUGAUAAUCAGGCUGAAAUCUGAUCAUGGGGAGAGGGCUAGGGCUGAGAACUUUCCAGACAGAGGGAACGCCAUGUUCAGAGGCUGGCAUGUGGACCAAGCAGGGUAAGACAGAUCACAGGAAGAAAGUCCACGUGGCUGGAGCCAUGGAGAGUUCGGGCAGGGGCAUGCUGUGGUGGAGGGGGCUGGCCAUCCCCUUCCAGGAGGUCUCUGGUCCACAGCCUGGGGGCCAGAGGAGGCAUGGGAGGGGUUCAUCAGGGCUGAGACGUGACUGAGCGUGUGUUUUGAAAACAUCACACAUAUUGCUGAGUGUGCAGUGGCUGAAGGGGGCUGGCAAGUUAAGGCUACUGCCAGCCUCCAGGCAAGAGAUGAGGGCAGUUGGCACCAGGGAGGCAAAUGGGGGAGGAGAAGACAGAUUCGAGAGAGCUUUUGGCAGGAAAACCUCUAGGACCUGCUGGGUGGUGGGGAGAUGCGGGUAACAGAGAGAAGGGUACAGGGGAGCUGGAUCACUGCAAUGGGGUCCCUGCGAGAGGGGGUGGAGGCGGGGGAAGGAUGAGGAAGAAUCAGCAGCCACGGAAAGCUCUUGGAGGCUGACUCAUCCACACCUGUCAACUGACAGAUGGGGAAACUGAGGUGCUCAAAAGUAACAUGCCUUUUCCAAGAGAACACGGGGAGGCCAUGGCCCAGCCUGGACCAGCAUUCAGGUCGCCCUAUAGUCCAGCCAGGGCAGAAAUUGCAGUCAUUCAUUCCUUCAGUCACAAUUUUUACAGAUCCCAUGGAAAUGAAUACAUCCCUGUUCUUGCCCUCAACGAGUUCUUGGUGAAGGAGACAGACACACAGACCUAUCAUGAGAACCCAGGGUUGCAAUAACUGAUGGAUACACUGUCUUCUAUGGGCCUCCCAGGAAGCUUAGCAGUAAAGAGUCUGACUGCCAGUGCUGGAAAUGCAGAAGACACAGGUGCACCACCAUACGCUCUGAGAUGGGAUGCUCAAUUCUGCUAAAUGGUCCUCGAGCACAUCAUGCUUUUUCAUGGAUUCCCUGCCUUUCCUCCUACCCCAUCUCCUCUGCCCAAAAGGCUCUUCCUCCAGUUAGGGCCCUCUAAUGAACUCCUGUUCAUACUGCAAAACCCAACCUGCACAGUCCUUCUGCAAAAUUUUCCCCAAACUCAGCUCAAACACUUUUCCUAUAUGCUGAAAUAAUUUAACGGCAUGUCAGGUCACCCUCCAUUUCCGCUCCUCCCCAGCCACCACGAGACUAUGAAGUCCUCCAGAGCAUGCUCGGUAAAACUCAACAAGGUAAAUGAGUGAGUGAGUGAUCAGGGUGGGUGCCUUUCCAACAAGGUAGAAUGGUUCUGUGCAAAAACCAAGGUCGCUGGAAUCAACAGAUCCCAGGUGCAGAUGCAGAGGAUUGUUACUCCAUGGAAUUGGGCUAGUUCCAUUGUCUCACGGGUCUUAACUUUUCCCAGCUAUAAAACAAGACCAAGAGUGAUCUUGGCAGGACAUACUAUCUCCAGAGAAAGGGCUCCCUCCCUUCCCUCUGCAGCUCUCCUCUUCUGGAAGUGGGGUGAGGGCUGCCUCCUUCUUCCUGGCACCUUUUCCAGGAGUGGGAGGUUGCACGGAGGUGGGAACUGGGGGAGGCUGGAGCUCGGGUUUCUCCGAAGGCAUUUCUGUCUCUCUAGGGAGUCUCCAUGAUUGACUUGGUAAAAUCAUCAUCGCCAUCAGCAUUCUCACCCUAACUCCUGUUGGACGCCAGAGAGGACUUUCUGCUCAGUAUCUCCAGCCGUCCUGCCAGGCAGAGGUAUUAUCUGCGUUUCAGAAUAAAGACACCGAGGUGCAGGGACAGUGCAGGAUCUGGUGUAGCGGCCUAUCCAGUCAAGAAGGUUGGAGGGAGCCAUAAACCAGGAUUUUUCCAAUUCCGAUCUGAGAACGGGCUAUAUGCCUUGGAGGAAGGAAGGAUUUCUGCUCCUGGGAGAAUCUAGAAGGUUCCCAACCCCUGGCAAGUGAGCUGAGCUUGAAGGAAAAGAUUUCAGUACCUUGUAAGUGAUUCCCACGGACAUAUAUUGUUGUUGUUGUUCAAUCUCUAAGUCCUGUCCGACUCUGCGAACCCAUGGACUGCAGUACUCCAGGCUUCCCUGUCCUUCGCUAUCUCCUGGAGUUUGCUCAAGCUCAAGUCUAUUGAAUCCAUUUCCAGGAGGAGAAGAUAUCAGGGAGGGCCUUUUAGGCAGCCAGGGACAAGGGGUGUCUUGGAUGCAGCUUGGUGGGGGUGACCAGAGGAAAGGGUGUGAGGAGAACAGAGCUGGGAGUGAGGGGCAACUCAGGAAAGUUCUGGAGUUUGGCUUUCAUCCUAGGAGCAAGGGGGCACCUUGCAUCGAACACAGUUUCUCUGCCAGGAGCCCCCCAGCAAGGGGGUGGCUGCCAGCCUGAGAAAUCUUCCCGAGUGUUCUCGGCCGGGAGAACGGAGCUCCUGCCGCCGUGAGGACGCUGCUAUUUUAAGCCACCUGCCAACAGCCCGCCUGCCUCCCCCGCUGCCGCCUUGACAUGCGGCUUCUGACAGCGAACCCCGUGUCGCCCCAGCAGACAGGCCUAGGCGGCUAAAUGCAGAUGCACUCCUGGGCAGGUGACAGCUGUGGGGACCUUGAGCGGCUUCCCACCUAGAGUCCAGCAUCCUUGACCACUAGCCUGGGGUGGGGGGGGUUGGUGGUGCUGAGGGGUACCCACGUCCUGCCCUGCUCAGACAGCUCCGACCAACCUGGGUACUAACCUCCAGUCUCAUGUAUGUGGGAAGACAUCUCUCUUAGAGCCUCGGUUGUUCCUCAUCUGUAAAAUGGGUAUAAUGAUGAAAUAUUAUCCUCACAGGAUGCUGGGGGAGCUCUUCAGAUGAUCAGAUAUGUAAGGGACCAGCUCGGUGCUUGGCACAGGUUAGGAGGUGAAAACUUCCGUGUGUGUGUGUGUUAGGUCGCUUCAGUUACGUCUGACUCUUUGCGACCCUAUGGAUUGUAACUGGCCAGGCUCCUGUGUCCAUGAGAUUCUCCAGGCAAGAAUACUAGAGGGGGUUGCCAUGCCCUCCUCCAGGGGAUCUUCCCAACCCAGGAAUCAAACCCGUGUCUCCUGCAUUGGCAGGCGGGUUCUUUACCACUAACAGCAUCUGGGAAGCCCGAAAACACCUAUACCAACCCCCAUCACUCCCCAUCCCCCUUUCUCCGUCUUAUUCCUCCCCAACUGACGUUGUGUUGGAUGUUCACUGGACCGCGACGGCAAAGAUUUUGGAUCCACAGCCUCUAACCAUGCCUGACACAUAGUAGGUGCUCAUAAAUAAACCCUCCAUGAAAGGAAUGGUUCUCGUUCAAUAGAGUCAGUUCUCCAAGCCUUCGCUUCUCAUCUGGAAGGCACGCUGGAAGGCUGUUGGCAGGUGGCGUUGCAUGGGUGAGCGUCCAUUCACCCAGCCAUUCACCUGUGAAUCUCUGAGCCCCUACAAUGCACCAGGCACUGUGCGCAGCUCCAAGGACCAAAGCUGUGCAAGUGUGAAUGGCCCACGACCUCCGGACUGGGUAUCUUCAUCUGGGUAAGUAGUAAAUUCCUAGUUCUCAAAGUGGACCAUAUCCGCGAUUAUUUGACAUCCAAGCAGUGGAUCUGUACCCUGUCUCAUCACCCUUCAUGAAAUAAUAGCUGGCCUUACUUCUGUUGUCUGCCAUCACCGGAUCUAGUUGGGGAAGAAGCGGGGAUAAAGGAGUAUGGUGGUCCCUAGCCAAGCAUUGUGAGAGGAGCGUUAGAUGGUGGAGAGUCAGCUGUGCUUCCAGUGCCCACGGUUUCUGAAGGUGCCUGGGCCCACCUGGCCAGGUGGCAGGGGGUCAGCAAUUCCACCAGCAGGUUUCGGAACACGUCACCCAUUGGAAGGGGCCAG